GUUUGAUACCCUGAGAAGCCAUCAGGA
rnacentral:piRNA from 1 species